rnacentral:misc_RNA from 1 species
UCGUCUCCCUGCUGCGAACCACACCGUUAGCACUCUCAGACUGCUGCCCACCGCCAUCAGACCAUCUCCAUCGCCCUCCACGCCCGCUCACCCACCGUCGCUUGCUCUCCUCGUCCCGCACUCGCCACCUCACCUCGGACCCGCCUACCGCUCGUCCCACAGCUCCUGGAGAUCCAGCUAUUCUCGCGAGCCCAAUAGGAGGAGGAUGGAGACUCACUCUGUGUGGGCAUGUGUGAGCACUGACGAGGCGGCAGAGAUGGCUCUCGGCGGGUCAGGAGCUACGGCGCUCCCAACUGCAGCAGCUCCGGCGCUUUGCGAGCAAGGCACNNNNNNNNNNNNNNNNNNNNACGCUUCGACCGACACUCUCCUCCUCGACCCGCAACUCGCUCUUCUCCCUUCUUCCGAUCUUCUCUUCGGCUUGUCCUGCGCGACGAGUGACACACUUUCAGCAACCCUCCAACGACAUGCUACACACGCGCACGAGCCACUUGGGCUUGUCAAACCUCAGCCUGCACGACUGUUCCGACCAUACGAGUCUCAAGGUACUCGAGCUCGUCGCGUCUCCUGCGGCGCUUUCCCUCAACACGCUCCGCUCGUGCCUAGCAAGCUGUAACACUCUCUCACUAAUCAGUCUCGGGGCCAUUCCCCUUGCAAACCCAUGCCUACGCACGCCUCGGCACCCUCCUCGCCGACCCUCGCCUGCCUCUCGUCCUUCUCAACCUCCGCUCCCUCCGAAAACCAUCGUCCAACCUCCCGAGUUGCGCAGCUACAACACGAGCUCACCACCGGAGCGCACUUAACCAAGAGCGUCGCCUUACGGAGGACUCACCGCCUCUACAACUUCGACAGUCGCUCGCGCGGAGUUCAGGGCGGGUGAGUUCGUCGAGAGGGGCCCGACGUAGCGCCUUCGCUCAAA